AACGAACGCUGGCGGCAUGCCUAACACAUGCAAGUCGAACGAGAUCUUCGGGUCUAGUGGCGCACGGGUGCGUAACGCGUGGGAAUCUGCCCUUUGGUUCGGAAUAACAGUUGGAAACGACUGCUAAUACCGGAUGAUGACGAAAGUCCAAAGAUUUAUCGCCAGAGGAUGAGCCCGCGUAGGAUUAGCUAGUUGGUGUGGUAAAGGCGCACCAAGGCGACGAUCCUUAGCUGGUCUGAGAGGAUGAUCAGCCACACUGGGACUGAGACACGGCCCAGACUCCUACGGGAGACAGCAGUGGGGAAUAUUGGACAAUGGGCGAAAGCCUGAUCCAGCAAUGCCGCGUGAGUGAUGAAGGCCUUAGGGUUGUAAAGCUCUUUUACCCGGGAUGAUAAUGACAGUACCGGGAGAAUAAGCUCCGGCUAACUCCAUGCCAGCCGCCGCGGUAA
rnacentral:rRNA from 1 species